rnacentral:rRNA from 1 species
UACGGGGGGAGCAAGCGUUGUUCGGAUUUACUGGGCGUAAAGGGCGCGUAGGCGGCCAGCACAAGUCAGUUGUGAAAUCUCCGGGCUUAACUCGGAAAGGUCAACUGAUACUGUGCGGCUAGAGUGCAGAAGGGGCAACUGGAAUUCUCGGUGUAGCGGUGAAAUGCGUAGAUAUCAAGAGGAACACCUGCGGCGAAGGCGGGUUGCUGGGCUGACACUGACGCUGAUGCGCGAAAGCCAGGGGAGCGAACGGG